GGAAACUAUAGUUCUGCUUCCACCGUUGUCCUACUUUGGAUGUGAGUUGGAGUAGAGCAUCAAGACAAAAAUCUCAGUCUUCGAGGAACUCACAGUGUAGCAGAAAAGACAAAGGAGGUAAACAGGAGGAGCAUGAAUAAUUCAUCUUGAUGUAAUCAUGCAAGACUCCUAAGAAGAUGUUAGGAGACCCUGUCAUCAUUCUUUUGGCCUCUAGUGUCCUUUAUCUUCAUGUUUGCUGGCUUCCUUUUACUACUAUGGAAAUACAACAUAUGCAAAAGUAGUGUUUUCACUGUUUAAAAACAUCGUCAGCAGCAUCAUCAUCAUUAACUGCACCAGGAAGCCAUGACUCCUUUCUGGACAAGGUGCACUUGCCUGUCAUCCUUCCAUCUCUUUCUUCCUCCUUGAAGUUCACAAUACCCAGUCCAGGAGCAUUGCAGAGAAUGCUAGGUGUGUCUGCAGACUUGACUUUAAAAGAAAACAAGUUCCUUCAAGUGAGUUCAUCAUGAUGGGAAUGAUAAUUUGUUUGAGAGAAUGUGUGUUCUUUGGCAAAGGAACUCCUGUUAUACCAUGACAGUAAUAAUAGCAGUAAUAAAAUCACCAAUAAUAAA
ensembl:lncRNA novel transcript